rnacentral:rRNA from 1 species
GACGAACGCUGACGGUGUGCUUUAGACAUGCAAGUCGAACGCGAAAGCCCUUCGGGGUUAGUAGAGUGGCGAACGGGUGAGUAACACGUGGGCAAUCUGCCCCUCGCAGGGGGACAACCGGAGGAAACUCCGGCUAAUACCCCGUACGCUUGCGGAACCGCAUGGUACCGCAAGGAAAGGUAGCUUCGGCCAUCCGGCGAGGGAUGAGCCCGCGGUGCAUUAGCUAGUUGGUGGGGUAACGGCCCACCAAGGCGACGAUGCAUAGCUGGUCUGAGAGGAUGAUCAGCCACACUGGGACUGAGACACGGCCCAGACUCCUACGGGAGGCAGCAGUGGGGAAUCUUGCGCAAUGGGCGAAAGCCUGACGCAGCGACGCCGCGUGAGGGAUGACGG